AGUGAACGCUGGCGGUAGGCCUAACACAUGCAAGUCGAACGGCAGCACAGUAAGAGCUUGCUCUUACGGGUGGCGAGUGGCGGGCGGGUGAGGAAUACAUCGGAAUCUACUUUUUCGUGGGGGAUAACGUAGGGAAACUUACGCUAAUACCGCAUACGCCCUACGGGUGAAAGCAGGGGAUCUUCUGACCUUGCGCGAUUGAAUGAGCCGAUGUCGGAUUAGCUAGUUGGCGGGGUAAUGGCCCACCCAGGCGACGAUCCGUAGCUGGUCUGAGAGGAUGAUCAGCCACACUGGAACUGAGACACGGUCCAGACUCCUACGGGAGGCAGCAGUGGGGAAUAUUAGACAAUGGGCGCAAGCCUGAUCCAGCCAUACCGCGUGGGUGAAGAAGGCCUUCGGGUUGUAAAGCCCUUUUGUUGGGAAAGAAAAGCAGCAGGUUAAUACCCCGCUGUUCUGACGGUACCCAAAGAAUAAGCACCGGCUAACUUCGUG
rnacentral:rRNA from 1 species